rnacentral:rRNA from 1 species
GUAGGUGGCAAGCGUUGUCCGGAAUUAUUGGGCGUAAAGCGCGCGCAGGUGGUUCUUUAAGUCUGAUGUGAAAGCCCCCGGCUCAACCGGGGAGGGUCAUUGGAAACUGGGGAACUUGAGUGCAGGAGAGGAAAGUAGAAUUCCACGUGUAGUGGUGAAAUGCGUAGAUAUGUGGAGGAACACCAGUGGCGAAGGCGACUUUCUGGCCUGUAACUGACACUGAGGCGCGAAAGCGUGGGGAGCGAACAGGGAUUAGAUACCCUGGUAGUCCACGCCGUAAACGAUGAGUGCUAAGUGUUGGGGGGGUUUCCGCCCCCUCAGUGCUGCAGCUAACGCAUUAAGCACUCCGCCUGGGAGUACGGUCGCAAGACUG